GACGAACGCUGGCGGCGUGCUUAACACAUGCAAGUCGAACGGAAAGGCUCUGCUUUUGUGGGGUGCUCGAGUGGCGAACGGGUGAGUAACACGUGAGUAACCUGCCCUUGACUUUGGGAUAACUUCAGGAAACUGGGGCUAAUACCGGAUAGGAGCUCCUGCUGCAUGGUGGGGGUUGGAAAGUUUCGGCGGUUGGGGAUGGACUCGCGGCUUAUCAGCUUGUUGGUGGGGUAGUGGCUUACCAAGGCUUUGACGGGUAGCCGGCCUGAGAGGGUGACCGGCCACAUUGGGACUGAGAUACGGCCCAGACUCCUACGGGAGGCAGCAGUGGGGAAUAUUGCACAAUGGGCGGAAGCCUGAUGCAGCAACGCCGCGUGCGGGAUGACGGCCUUCGGGUUGUGAACCGCUUUCGCCUGUGACGAAGCGUGAGUGACGGUAAUGGGUAAAGAAGCACCGGCUAACUACGUG
rnacentral:rRNA from 1 species